UGUCUCUGGGGACCACACGGUGUGUCUUCGUCUUAGGGGACCCACACGUGUGUCUCAGUCGUCUCUAGGGGCCCCGUUGUCUCAGUCGUUCUCUAGGGGACCCACACGUGUGUCUCAGUCGUCUCUAGGGGACCCACACGUGUGUCUCUAGGGGCCUCACAUGUGUCUCUAGGGCCCUCACAUGGUGUCUCUUAGGGGCACCUCACAUGUUGUCUAUCGUCUCUAGGACCCAACGUGUGUCUCAGUCGUCUCUAGGGGACCACACAUGUGUCUCAGUCGUCUCUAGGGGCCCUCACAUGUGUCUCUCGUCUCUAGGGGCCCUCACAUGUGUCUCAA
ensembl:lncRNA